UAUACACCUCUCUAUAUGUUUUACAGAAAAUAAACACAACACAGUGAAAAUACAGUAGUGAAGUGCAAUACACACUUUCAUUAUUAAUCACUCCAGUAUUAUGACACCAGCCUAAACACAAGUGAAGCCCACUGCCCAAAGAGGUGUGAGCAGGAACAGUUCAAUCUGUGUCCCAGGUUUAUCCAGAAGUCUGUCUCCUGUGCACACACGGAAUGUUGCAACACACAGGACACGCGCUCCAGGGUAGAGUCCAGCAGCAGGACAUCCCCACCUCACCCUCCUGUGAUCACAGCAAGGCCAGCACCAAGAUCCUCCAGCUUUCCUAACAACGCCUCCAGUAAAGCCAGGAGAGCCCACAAUAGAGCACACACUCGCUAUUUGGAACGGGGAAAGAAGAUUUCCCAGUCUCCCAGGUGCCCACGGCCUCAGCACCCGAG